rnacentral:sRNA from 1 species
CGUGCCUAGGGACUGGCACAGACUACCAAGGAUUGGGGUCAGGACAAUCGCAGGAUGCGAUUCCAUCAGGACGAUGAGCAGGGAAUACAGGGAGUAGGGACAAAAGAGUGGGCGGGUAAUACCGCCCCUUUUUUU